rnacentral:rRNA from 1 species
CCUGGCUCAGAUUGAACGCUGGCGGCAUGCUUUACACAUGCAAGUCGAACGGCAGCGCGGGGCAACCUGGCGGCGAGUGGCGAACGGGUGAGUAAUAUAUCGGAACGUACCCAAGAGUGGGGGAUAACGUAGCGAAAGUUACGCUAAUACCGCAUACGAUCUAAGGAUGAAAGCAGGGGAUCUUCGGACCUUGUGCUCCUGGAGCGGCCGAUAUCUGAUUAGCUAGUUGGUGAGGUAAAGGCUCACCAAGGCGACGAUCAGUAGCUGGUCUGAGAGGACGACCAGCCACACUGGAACUGAGACACGUCC